GGGAUGUACACUGCAGCUGCCCGCAGAAGUGUGGGUGUCCCCGAGGGAGCCACCCAGCAGACCCUGGCCACGUCAGGUGUGUGCUUCAGGUGGGAGCAAAUGCCACAUAUGGAGUCUGGCCUGUCCUCCUGUAGAUUACAACAGGGGCUGCUUCUCCUGGUCACCACGUGAGCCAGGGUAGGUGCUGACGAGGUCACGCUAUGACUCCACCCGAGGAAGGAGGAGGGUCCCUGAGCCGGGAGCACGGGACCCCAGAGACUUCCUUCUAGCUCGUGUCUCCGAUGGUGCCUGCUCCCAGUCUAGCUCACCAUCUGCCCUCUUGAUCAGCUGGGUAAGAGAACCGCUCCUGGAGUCAGACUGUCCCUCCUCCGCCCCUUGUCGAGCGGGAGGAAACGGGAAAAUUACUUGGCCCUUCGUGCCUCAGUGGGCUGAUCUGCACGCGGGGGUAACAAUGCCUACCUUGUGAAGAACAUGCUUAUAGUACUUAGCAUGGUCCCGGUACAUGGUUAAUGCUUGAUAAAUGCUGGCUGUAGUAAUGAUAACAAUGAUAAAGACAUAAUAAACUGUCGAUUUCUCUCCAUUAUUUUUAGGUGGAAAUUCUGACUCCUCACUUGGUAUUUAGGAGUCUGCAGGGCUUUUGGCCUCCUCACUUCCCACUCUCAAUUCACGGCAGGCCUUGUUCUUUUUUUUUUGGUUUUUUUCUCCGGUACUGGGAACCGAACUCACAACCUUGCGCUUGCCAGGCAGGUGCUUUGCCGCUGAGCUAAAUCCCCAGCCCCCAGGCCUUGUUCUUGUCCUGUUUUCUCUCUGUUUCUCCUUCAGAUGCUUCCUACCUUCCCUCUCCAAGCUAUUCCUCGUCUCCUUGACUCACCCGGACACUUAGCCCAGCUUGGUGCCUCGAACACGACUGGUGAUGAUAAGCAUUUCCAAGAGGCAUCCGUGCCAUGACCGGCACUGGUUAUUAAUCACUUCACUCCUCUGCGUCAUCAGCGCACAUGGCACGGGCCAGGUCCGCGGGGUCCGUUCACACACAGACGACGGACGCGCAGCGGAUGGAGUCUGCAUCGGAUCCCGGCUGGCAGAUCCUGACCUUUCACACUAUUACUCUCCGAGCACAUCAAUUACAAACUACCAAAUGCUGCAACAUUUGCAGUUUUCUAAAACUACAUUUACUGCUAUUUCAGGUAUAGUAUAUACCAUUUAAAGAGGCCAGAACAACCCUGUAAUUCCAUCCAGUCAUUCCUUUGUCAAAUAUCUAUUAAGUGCCUGCUGCGUGCCAUGAACCAGGAAUGUGGUCAGUUAAUGUGAUAGAUGCAGAACGACUGGGAUCAGUGUAAGGACCUCGGGCCCUUUCCAUGGCACGUCCUAGCUCAGCCACUCGUUCAUCCCACUGUCCAUCUUGCUUCUCUCCCCUCCUCCUCCUGCUUGGUUUCCAGCCCUCAUGAAAGCCAUGCUUCACGGCACAGUGGGGAGCAGAGGGGACCACGCAUCCUAGAGGGACAAGUUGCCCUCAGUUCUUCUAGGCCCUGGUUGG
ensembl:lincRNA